rnacentral:rRNA from 1 species
GAUGAACGCUGGCGGCGUGCCUAAUACAUGCAAGUCGAGCGAACGGACGAGAAGCUUGCUUCUCUGAUGUUAGCGGCGGACGGGUGAGUAACACGUGGAUAACCUACCUAUAAGACUGGGAUAACUUCGGGAAACCGGAGCUAAUACCGGAUGAUAUUUUGAACCGCAUGGUUCAAAAGUGAAAGACGGUCUUGCUGUCACUUAUAGAUGGAUCCGCGCUGCAUUAGCUAGUUGGUAAGGUAACGGCUUACCAAGGCAACGAUGCAUAGCCGACCUGAGAGGGUGAUCGGCCACACUGGAACUGAGACACGGUCCAGACUCCUACGGGAGGCAGCAGUAGGGAAUCUUCCGCAAUGGGCGAAAGCAUGACGGAGCAACGCCGCGUGAGUGAUGAAGGUCUUCGGAUCGUAAAACUCUGUUAUUAGGGAAGAACAAAUGUGUAAGUAACUGUGCACAUCUUGACGGUACCUAAUAAGAAAGCCACGGCUAACUACGUG